rnacentral:rRNA from 1 species
UACAGAGGGUGCGAGCGUUAAUCGGAGUUACUGGGCGUAAAGGGCGCGUAGGCGGUGAGAUGAGUGUGAUGUGAAAGCCCCGGGCUUAACCUGGGAAGUGCAUCGCAAACGAUCUGACUGGAGUAGAUGAGAGGGUGGCGGAAUUUCCGGUGUAGCGGUGAAAUGCGUAGAGAUCGGAAGGAACGUCAAUGGCGAAGGCAGCCACCUGGCAUCAUACUGACGCUGAGGCGCGAAAGCGUGGGGAGCGAACAGG